UACGGAGGGUGCGAGCGUUGUCCGGAAUCACUGGGCGUAAAGGGCGCGUAGGCGGUCUGCUAAGCGUGUGGUGAAAGCUCGGGGCUCAACCCCGAGUCUGCCAUGCGAACUGGUGGACUGGAGCACUGUAGAGGCAGGUGGAAUUCCGGGUGUAGCGGUGGAAUGCGUAGAGAUCCGGAAGAACACCAGUGGCGAAGGCGGCCUGCAGGGCAGUUGCUGACGCUAAAGCGCGACAGCGUGGGGAGCAAACAGG
rnacentral:rRNA from 1 species